rnacentral:rRNA from 1 species
GCCUGUUAUCUCUAUCAAGAUGAUUCUAAUUCAUCAGAUAUUAUUUAUUCUAGUAUCUGGAACACGAAAUAGAUAGAGCGGAUAAAAAAUGGAACUAUGAUUCAUACUCACUAUUAAGACCUUGCAACCCGACUGGAAAAUUCAAGUAGUUCUUAA